UGUAAAUCUAAUCAUAUUCCUUUCCCCUUGUAUUUUCCUUUUACCCAAUGAGGAAAUGAAGAAAAGAAACACUAUUUUCCUAUCACACAAUUUCUUUCUUUCCUCUUUCCCUCCUUCUUUUUCUCUCGCUUUUAGUGUCUAAAAGGUUCUCUUAUUUUUUUUUUUUGAUCCAUUCUCUCCUUCUUUCUUCUACUCCUUUGCUUUGUUCUAGAGUGUGUCCAAUUGUCAUAGGUAUGGUUUUUUCGUUUUUUUCUACUACCAUGCUUCUAGAUUUUUGCCUUGCAAUCUGGGUUUUUCUACCUACCAUCUUUCUUCAGGAUUUUUGUAGAAGUUGCCAUACAAGUAAAGAAGAAAACUCUCUUAUCUUCGUGGUGAUUAUCCAUUGUUAUUGAUUUUUUUAUACAUGAAUUUUUCUUUUUUAUAAGUUGAUGUGGUUUUUGGACUAAUUUGCUGAAAUAUCAUUGAUUAAUGUUGCUUUGUUUUGUUGUACAAUCUUGAAUUUUAUAAGUUUAAGAUGGUUUCCAAGUACAAUUA